GGUUGAUUAGCUCAGCUGGUUCAGAGCAUCCCGACUAAUAAGUCGGGAGGGUCACUGGUUCGAACCCAGUAUCUCCCA
rnacentral:tRNA from 1 species